UGAUCAGACAAGAAGAAGAAAUAAAAAGGAUCCAAAUUGGAAAAGAAGUAAAAUUGUCAUUAUUCGCAGAUUACGUGACGUGCAUAGAAAACUCUAAAGACUCCAUCAAAAAACCACUAGACUUAAUAAAUGAAUUCACUGCCCAGAGCUCUGAAUGUCAAUGAAGCACGGGUAAACAGUGGGAGUAACUAUGACUCUCUUAAGGUAGCCAAAUGCCUCAUCAUCUAAUUAGUGACGCACAUGAAUGGAUGAAAGAGAUUCCCACUGUCCCUACCUACUAUCCAGUGAAACCACAGCCAAGGGAAUGAAUGGGCGUGGUGGAAUCAGCAGGGAAAGAAGACCCUGUUGAGCUUGACUCUAGUCUGGCGGUGAAGAGACAUGAGGGGUGUAGAAUAAGUGGGAGGCCCCCGGCAUCCCUUCCCUGAGUCCCUGUAAGGGGGCAGGAGGGAAGUCCACUGGCUUUUCGGGUCACAGGCAAAGUCACUCCAAAUUCAAGAAGAUUGAAGU
rnacentral:ncRNA from 1 species